GGAGAAAUGAACAGGACCACCGUCAUUAUUGCCACCACUGCCUCUUUGGAUUCAGAUGAAUCUACUGUAGAGGGAGGUAAUGCUUGCUUCCUGCAGGAGUGAGGGUACAGCAUAUGGUGCUACUAUCAGUGGGUAUGAGAGCUACAACAGAGUAGAGGUAAAAGAAAAGAGGCCUUCUUUUAUUCCAUUGUUGGCUCUUCAGUUUGAUAAGAGCCACUUAAGAGAGUCAUGACAAGUCAAAGCAAAGUAAGCUCUACUUACAUUUAACUACAAUAGAAUUAACAGUGUUGUACAAUUGGUUUUGGAGUUUUGCAUCUUUUUCUUGUUGCUGAAGUCUGGUGUUGUGAAAUUCCCAAUCUGGAAAUGACAUUAAUAUAAUCUUUUAAUUAGAAUCAAGACCAUGUUUUGACAUGAUGAUCAUAAUAAUUGGUGGGUAUGCCUUGGCUGCCAUGAUGCAUGGUGAAUACUUGUUUAGGACAACACUUUGCAUCACUGCUAGAUCUAAGCCACCACAUGUGUGACUCCUCAAUCAUAUAUUUGUGCUAAAAACUCAGUGAAAUAUAACUUUUAAAACAUGUGUCUAUUAAAGAUUGAACAUUAAGUUCAUCAGAGGAAGAAUCUACCAAAAUGUUUGUAAUGUGGAUCCAAAUCAACGAAAGGGAAGAAAAAUGAUUGGACCCAGAUGCACAUCUCAACAUAGUGACCAAAUUUGUCCUCAUCAGGCCUCAGACUUUGGAUUGGAGAAAGCUUGAGAAGUCAUGGCUUUUGACCUUUUCCCUAUUUGGCUUUCUAUCAUUAGGAACUAAAAGAAGGCCUUUGACCUUUUGGUAACCCUUUAAAGAUUAGAGAUUUGAAUGACUUUUUAUGUUGGCUUUUGAUCAGUAGGUUCUAGAAGAAGGCCUUUGACUUUUUGGAAGUCUGGAAAAAUUAGGGAUUUGGAUGCCAGCAGUCAGCCACAGAGAUGUUGGGUUGGCAAGAAAUCUUUUGAGCAACAUUUCAACACCAUCCUUGGGGACCUUCUUGAAGAUCCAAAUGCAAACCCCAACAGUGGGAUCUUGAAAUCUACUACUGCAAACACUCAGAUGUUGAAGGUUUCCUUUGCUGCUAUUGCCUCCCCCCCCCCCCUCCCACCCCCAAAAAACAACAUAUAUGGAAUGAGAAGAUACAAGACAAGAUGGAUUGGGAUCUCACAUGAAUCAGUAAGAAGAGCCAUCAGUGCAAGAGUUUGCUGAAGAAAAACCAGUUUGGGACUCAACAAAUACAUUCUAUGCUGAGAUGUGACCUCCCACACAACACUUUAGAUUGAAUUAGGAAUUUUUUCAACAUCUAUAUAUAUUGUUGUAUAGUUUGAAAAUAGAGUAUCUUGCGC